GGGAGCGCGAAGGGGCCUUAAAGUGGGCGUGACGGCGAAUUGCAAUGGCCGAUUGGUGUAAAGGGGGCGUUUGAGCCAGCGAGAGUGAGGCCCGGAGACUUGUUUUCCCCCCGGGCCGGAGGGGAAGCUCGUUUUCGGUGGAGUGCGUGUCACGGAGAGGCCGGGAUCGCUUUGUCCCUUGCUGCCGGAGACAAACUGCCGCUUGUCUUGUGUUUCCUCAGAGAUAGACAGAAGAUCAUCCCCAGCCGUAGCCGGAGGGAGAGUGCGGGGAGUGGGGGGGGAGGAUGUCGUGACCAAGGGCCCGAUCCAAAGCCCGGGGAACCGAAUGGGGAACCUUUCCAUCGACUUCAGCGGCCUCAGGAUCAGGCCUCGGGCAAAAUGAGGCAGAGCGGGCAGGCCUCUCGCCGUCCCCGAUGCCCGAUGCCAGCAGACGUGCCCGCUAGCCAUGGAAGGAGCCAGGAGCCGCCUCUUCCAAUGAACCCAACGCCACUGCAGCGCACCGGUGCCAGACGUGGCCGGAGACCCCCUGGGAGCUCGACCGAGCACAUUCCUGGCCCCACAUCUAAGGAUGCACCAGCUGCUGCUGCUGGCUUCAGUCUGCCUCUCUUCUCUGCCAGCUGCUUUGACUAUUUACCAGAAAGCAACCGGGUGUCCAGGUGGGUAACCAUGUUCUCUUCCUCCCAGCGAACCUGCCAGCUCCUUUGCCCCGUUCCCCUUUCCAGCAUGGGGCAGUCUGGCUCUCGCUCUAGUCCCCACCUGUCUGCCUCACUACAGAGCCCCGACGUGCCGCAGUUUAAAGCCGAGGUGCGGGGUCACAGACGAGGGGAGGACGGGAAUGGCAGGAGGCCGGUGUGAGGGGCACUGGCACAGGUGUGUGUCGGGCGCCCGGGGCUGGAAUAGUAAGAGGUGGGGAGGCGGCAGGCUGGGGUUGAGAGGCCUCAGCAGAGGUACAGGGGAAGGGAACCUGGAC
ensembl:lncRNA